GGUGCAUCCUCGUCGCUGCGGCGCCCCUCGCACCCGCCGUAGCCAUGACUGAGCAGAUGACCCUUCGUGGCACCCUCAAGGGCCACAACGGCUGGGUCACCCAGAUCGCUUACGACCCCGCAGUUCCCGGACAUUGAUACUGUUCCGCUUCUCGAGAUAAGACCAUCAUCAUGUGGAAGCUGACCAGAGACGAGACCAACUACGGCAUCCCGCAGCGUGCUCUGCGGGGUCACUCCCAUUUCGUCAGUGACGUGGUCAUCUCCUCGGAUGGCCAGUUCGCGCUCUCAGGCUCCUGGGACGGGACCCUGCGCCUCUGGGAUCUCACAACGCAAGUAGCUGCUCGCCUAGCUGGGGGUGGCUUGGGAGAAAGCUGGGCGGAGAUGAG